CAUGCGUUGAAGAAGAAUAUAUUUUUAUCGAAAUAAAAAAUGAGAAAAUCUGGUUGGCUCUCGCCAUCCAUUUCUACGUCAAUGACGCUUACGAAAUUCAGGCCAGACUCGUGACCUCGUCAAGCAACACGGAAAACCAAACAGAAAGAAAUCAAGAGGAAAAAUAAAAAAACGACGGCAAUGUCCCACCCCCAGGAGAUUUAGCAACAUGUGGCCGUGUGUAUUUUCGAAUGUAUAUUUUUCGCAUCUUAACCGGCUGAUUCUCUCUGGCGAAUCGCCAAAAAUAUUACGUAUCGUAUUUUUCCUCAAGUAACUUACCUUGGGGAAACGUUCCUUGUAGAGGGUAUUCAUCAUUUGUAUCUCAUUGUCCAAAACCGGAGAUCGACUCGGACUGCUGCAAAUUUACGUCCGUUCCUCGUUAGACUUUUGAAAUUACCGAAACGUUGCUUGAGCCUGGUGUCGUUCCAUAUCCACUGGAAGGCAAACUGGCUACGGACCAUCGUCGCCCAUCGGCCGUACCAGAAGCACCGGCACCGAUUCUUUUUUGUUUCGUCAGAGUACAACAUUUGUGGAUUAUUCGAAAUUUCAACGUAAAUACUGAGUGAACUCAAUGGCCAAAGUUAACCUCACGGAUGUUGAUAAUAGAAUACGGACCUGGACGAACAGGAGCUUCUUUGCUAAUAGGCUUAGGAGGCUGGACUUGGCGAGCGGAAGACUCGAGCUCCGCGUUGCCAGGACUCUCGUCAUUUUCUACUUGAUCAAAGACCAAAACUCUGGCUGAAUUACCAUGGGACCUAAGACGAGGCAUGACUAUAAAACGAUAAAAUGGAGCAAAACAAUCCAACUUUUCGAAAUACGUUCGAGAAUAAAUAGAAAUUCUAUUCGACAGCAAAA